UACGUAGGGGGCAAGCGUUGUCCGGAUUUAUUGGGCGUAAAGAGCGUGUAGGCGGCUGGGUAGGUCCGUUGUGAAAACUCGAGGCUCAACCUCGAGACGUCGGCGGAAACCAUCUGGCUAGAGUCCGGAAGUGGAGAGUGGAAUUCCUGGUGUAGCGGUGAAAUGCGCAGAUAUCAGGAAGAACACCCGUGGCGAAGGCGGCUCUCUGGGACGGUACUGACGCUGAGACGCGAAAGCGUGGGGAGCGAACAGG
rnacentral:rRNA from 1 species